UACGGAGGGGGCUAGCGUUGUUCGGAAUCAUUGGGCGUAAAGGGCGCGUAGGCGGCCGAUCAAGUCGGAGGUGAAAUCCCUCGGCUCAACUGAGGAAUUGCCUUCGAUGCUGUUCGGCUUGAGUCCUGGAGAGGGUAGCGGAAUUCCCGGUGUAGCGGUGAAAUGCGUAGAGACCGGGAAGAACACCAGUGGCGAAGGCGGCUACCUGGACAGGUACUGACGCUGAGGUGCGAAAGCGUGGGGAGCAAACAGG
rnacentral:rRNA from 1 species